rnacentral:rRNA from 1 species
AGCGACUGUGCAGGUUACCGCGGCUGCUGGCACGGAGUUAGCCGGUGCUUCUUCUGUGAGUGAUGUCCUUCCUGCCGGCUAUUUAACCCGCAGGCCUUCUUCCUCACUGAAAGUGCUUUACAACCCGAAGGCCUUCUUCACACACGCGGCAUGGCUGGAUCAGGGUUGCCCCCAUUGUCCAAUAUUCCCCACUGCUGCCUCCCGUAGGAGUCUGGGCCGUGUCUCAGUCCCAGUGUGGCUGAUCAUCCUCUCAGACCAGCUACGGAUCGUCGCCUUGGUGAGCCGUUACCUCACCAACCAGCUAAUCCGACAUAGGCUCAUCCGAUAGCGCGAGGCCCGAAGGUCCCCCGCUUUCCCCCGUAGGGCGUAUGCGGUAUUAGCCUGGGUUUCCCCAGGUUAUCCCCCACUACCGGGCAGAUUCCUAUGCAUUACUCACCCGUCCGCCGCUCGCCACCAGGGAGCAAGCUCCCCGUGCUGCCGCUCGACUUGCAUGUGUUAGGCCUGCCGCCAGCGUUCAAU